rnacentral:rRNA from 1 species
GAUGAACGCUGGCGGCGUGCUUAACACAUGCAAGUCGAACGAGAAGUGAAGACGGAAACCUUCGGGCGGAAGGCUUUAUUUCGAGUGGCGGACGGGUGAGUAACGCGUGGGUAACCUGCCUCAUCCAGGGGGAUAACAGUUUGAAACGACUUUUAAUACCGCAUAAGACCACAGCACCGCAUGGUGCGGGGGUAAAAACUCCGGUGGUAUGAGAUGGACCCGCGUUCGAUUAGCCAGUUGGCGGGGUAACGGCCCACCAAAGCGACGAUCGAUAGCCGAUCUGAGAGGAUGACCGGCCACAUUGGGACUGAGACACGGCCCAAACUCCUACGGGAAGCAGCAGUGGGGAAUAGUGCACAAUGGGGGAAACCCUGAUGCAGCGACGCCGCGUGAGUGAAGAAGUAUUUCGGUAUGUAAAGCUCUAUCAGCAGGGAAGAAAAUGACGGUACCUGAGUAAGAAGCCCCGGCUAACUACGUG